rnacentral:lncRNA from 1 species
GUUGCAUAUAUUCCUGUUGCAUAUAGCAUGGCAUCAUUGCAGUUGUGAGGCAAAGCAAGGUAAAGUUAGUUGCAUGUUUAUGAUAUAUAUAUCUAUCUGUUUAUUGGACUAACUUGUAUUUGCCUCCCUUGGACCUGUUGGUCGAGCUCCUCCCUUGGGUGGCCGUACCCACUGGGAACCAUGGAGUUGGUUCUCACCCCACGUUGUUUUGGGGUUUUACAGGUUCGCACGUGAGCGGCGCGGCGGCGCGAGGCAAGGGCGUAGCUCCAUAGAUAGCGCCCUACCCCCAGAGACCAGAGCUAGCAGUACCCCGUCGGCGUAGCUUAGGGGUAUAGAAAAUGAAAGGAAUAAAAUGUAUUAAACUUGUAAUAGCUUAGAUUGUAUUUGGAAGUUAAAUGUAGUAUAAAGUGUGAUAUAAGUAAAUGAAUCUAAUGUGAAUGUUGUAAUAACAUAGGAUAUGUUAUGUUGUUUGAUACUUCCUUACGCAAUCAUGAUUGAUAUCUGUUCCUGGUUGGGACCAUUGUAAUGUACAUUGUUUGGAUUGCGACGCCUAGAACGUACAGGGGAGACUCUGUCCGCGUACAGGGGAAACCCCGGUCCGUUCGGCGGUCUGUCGGCGUGCCCGAACCGGACCAAAUUGGGAGCGGUCUCGGGGCGUGACACUCAUCACCUGUACAUUUUCAAUCAUGAAGUGCACUAGCGAAAAUAUAUUCAAACGGCUUACACGAGUGUAAGCAAUAGCCAUUAGUGAGAGAAAGGAAACUAACAUUCAAUUUGUACUAUGAUUCAAUUUAGAUCAUAUACAUUGCUUACAUAGUUCUUUACAUACUUUUCAUCAUUUCUUUUUACAUCACAUUGCCUCAAAAUAAAACUUUACAUUCUUUUUCUUUACUUUAAACAUCUUCGAGUACAAAAGAUGAAGUAAGGGAACGCUACUACAAAAUGUAAACCCAACUCUGGUGGCCUCUGACUAAGGUGCGAUAACUUUACCGCGGUCGCUCGCCAGCUCACUCGGUCCCGGCUUUGUGGAAUAGUGGGGUGAGAACUACAACAAAGUUCCCAGUGGGUUCGGCCCCAAUCUCACCGACUUUUCCACUAGGACUAACUCAGGCAUAAUAGAAAGGAUAAGCAGAAAUAUAGUAACCAAUCUGUAACUUGAUGCUAAUAUGCCUGAACAAUAAAGUAAGGAGUAUGCUCAACAUAAAACUCAUGUAGAUUAUGCAAGUUCUUUUGUUCUUUCUCUUUACUCUUUAAGCUUUGUUCUUUGUUCUUGUUCUUUAAUCUCAUGGCUAACCCGGGGGUUUCGCCACAUUAACUUGCCCACAUUAAGUACAUCAACACGGGCCCUCAGCUGCCUCUCGCUAAGACCGUCUUCGGGUUUACUCCAACCCGUGAUGCAAAAACUCCGGAGCGCAUCGCCCGAGGGGGAGCGACCGCCCUCGAGCAUGGAACUCAUAGCAAGUAUGAUUGAAUCCUUAACUCUAUGGAUUUUAAAUUUAAUCAUGUCAUUACACUAACUCUAGUGUUCUUUUCAUCACUUUAUGUUGCUAACUCUAGCAAUCAUUGUUCUUUGCUCUUUACUUGUUCUUUAUGCCAAACUUUGCAUUAACUUUAACCAUUAUCAUUGUUCUUUACAUUACUUUACAUUAACUUUAAUCAUUAUCAUCACUCUUUACAUCACAUUGAUCCUUUGCCUCACACUAACUCUAGUGUCACUUUACUUUACAUUAUCGAAUGCCACUCGAUCUAUGUCUCAUUGUGUCACUCUAUUCUUUUGCCUCACUUUGAUGCUCACAUUAUAUCUCAUGCAUACAUGUAGGGUUAAACAUUCAUAGGAGUUCUCGACCAUCUCAUUAGGCAAAUUGUACUCACAAUAUGCAAUAUCACAUCAUUCUCAUUACAUAUACCCUAUGAUGCAUGCAACAAUGUAUACAACAUAUGCUCAAUUGAAUGACCCAUUAGGCAUAGAAGGAAGUUCAAUGAGUUUGGAUAGCACCACCUACCUCGUAGGUUCUCAAAGGUGCUCUGACGAUUUUCUUGGAAUUUUUAGACUCCUCGUUCUUCACCUGCGACAAAACGAAGCCAACUUAGGCCAUUUUGCCCAUAACUUUUUAUAGACUUUUCGUAACGUUAAUCCGAGCGCACCAACGCGUCGGAAAUACUCCGAAUUAGGUUUCUAGAGGGUCAAUUUCACUUUGAAACCCUCGCAAGCAAAAGCCCCAAUUUGUGUGCCCUAGCUCAUAACAUAUAUCAAACCUAGGGUUUGAUCUCAUUGGGAAGCAAAAGAAGCUUCAAUCUACUCUAGGAAGUCCAUUAAAACCAUUCUUUGUUUAACCCAAACCCUAGUUUGGAUCCUACCAUGAGAGGGGUAAAAGCUCACUUUCAAGCUCCACCUCUACACUCAAUCCAUGGUUUCAAUCUCAAAAGAAGCAAAAGAAAGCUUCAAAGGCUCAAAAGGUUUUAUCAAAACCCAAUUCUAAGCUUAUCCAAACCCUAGUUUGGGAUUUACCAUGAAAAUGGCAAAGCUUACCUCUAAGCUUGCUCCUUUCUUGCACUAGAGGGGAAGAAGAAGAAGUCACCCCACUCCAAUGGCUUCUUCUCCACCUUCCUUGCCUUUCUUUUUCCUUUCCUUCUCCUUCUUCUUCUCUUUCUUUCCUUUCCUUUCUUCUCUUCUUUAUCUUCUAGAGAGAGAAAGAGAGAUGAGAGAGUGUGAGAGGGAGUGAAAUGAGAGAAGUAUCUCAUUUUCCCCCAUACUAUACCCUAUGGGUUGCAAAAUUGUAGUUAAACCCCUCAACUUUCAUCUUGUUACACUGCCCGAACUGGGCAUUUUUCGUGCUCGGGGACGGGUCUCCCCGACUUGGGACCGGUCCCAGAGAGCUCUCCCCGCGGGCAGCCAAGGCUACGCGUGACGCAACCGGUUUCUCCCCCAGAGGGACCGGUCUCUCGGAGACCGGUCUCUCCCUGCAGGGACCGGUUCCGAAGAGCUGGUUUUCUGGAACUUAGCCGAUUUUUCGGCUUUCUCACGUUGCACAUGUUCGGGGACCGGUCUCUCCCACCAGGGACCGGUCCCCGAGAGCUCAAAAACUGCAGUUUGCAGAUUUUUGAUUCUUUAGCUCUCGAAAACCUCCCACAACGAACUUUUGACCAUUUUAACACCUUCGGACUUUCCGAAGUGUACCAUCCUCACACUUUGGUCAAUUUGACUAAUGUUUGAUAUUUAUUUUUUGAAUUUUCGGUAUAUUACAUUCUCCACCCCUUAAAAUAAUUUCGUCCGCGAAAUUACGCAUACCUUAACUCGUCGAUUCAAAUAAAUAGGGAUACUCUCUCCGCAUGGCCUCCUCAAGCUCCCAAGUGGCUUCUCGCACAGCAUGGUUGCUCCAUUGGACCUUCACAUAAGGAAUUCUGCGACUCCGUAGCUUUCUUUCUUCUCUAUCGAGGAUGCACACCGGGUACUCCUCAUAAGACAUAUCUUCACAUAGCUCUACGGGCUCAUACUCCAAUACAUGUGUCGAAUUGCGAAUGUACUUUCGGAGAUUUGACACAUGAAACACGUUGUGAACUCCUGUGAGUCUUGGUGGUAGUGCGAGCUUAUACGCUACCGCACCCACACGCUCUAGUAUCUCAAAUGGCCGAACAUAACGGAGACUUAACUUCCCACGGACCCCAAAACGUUUAACUCCUCGCAUCGGUGAUACUCUCAAAAAUACGCGGUCUCCAACCACGAACUCUAAAUCCUUUCUUCGCUUGUCGGCAUAACUCUUUUGCCGAGAUUGCGCUGUCGCUAACCGUUGACGCGCAAGACGAACCUUUUCUUCCGCCUCCCGUACCACAUCUGGGCCAAGAGCCGUUCUCUCGCCCACGUCGCUCCAAUGGAUAGGAGAACGAUACUUUCGACCAUAUAGUGCCUCAAAUGGCGCCAUUGCUAUGCUCUCUUGAUAACUAUUAUUAUAGGCGAACUCCGCCAUUAGCAAGAAAUCAUGCCAUCCUCCUUUGUAAUCUAGUACACACGCUCGAAGCAAGUCGUCGAGGAUCUGUAUUGUCCGCUCUGACUGUCCAUCACUCUGAGGAUGAAAUGCUGUGCUAAAGUCGAGCCGUGUGCCCAACGCAUCUUGCAAGCUCUUCCAAAAGUGGGAUGUGAACCUGGGAUCUCGAUCCGAUACAAUUGAUACCGAAACCCCAUGAAGUCUCACAAUCUCGUCGAGAUAAACUUGAGCUAACUUGUCUCCCGACCACGUAGUAUGUAUCGGCAAGAAGUGUGCCGAUUUUGUCAAUCGAUCCACUAUCACUCAUAUCGCAUCGUGUCCGCCUUAUGACCGAGGCAAACCGGUAAUAAAGUCCAUCGCUAUAUCUUCCUAUUUCCACACUGGUAUAGAUAGACUUUGUAGCUUUCUCGCCAGAAACCGACGCUCUGCUUUUACCUGGUGGCACGUUAGACAUUGCGCCACGAACUCUCCAAUAUCUCUCUUCAUACCCGGCCACCAAUAGUGCUCUUUCAAAUCCUUGUACAUUUUAGUGCCGUCGGGGUGUAUGCUAUGAGGAGAUUGGUCCGCUUCUUGCAUAAUCGCCCUUCGAACAUCAUCAUCUUUAAGCACACACCAUCAAUUUCGAAAUCGAAGUGCGCCGUUAGCUCCAAUGCCAAAAUCUUCGGCACUACCAUUCUCAACUUCACUCAGCACCUUUUGAAGAUAAGGAUCCGAGGCUUAGAGAUCCUUGAUUCUUUCCAAUAGGGUCGGUUGCACAACUAAUGCAGCAAGUGUAGCCGGCACUCCCGGCUCUACAACUUCCAACCCAAGCCUUUGCAUCUCCUUUUGCAGUAGCGGUUGAGGCGUAAUUGCCAUCGCUAAGUUCUCCGCCGAUUUUUUACUUAGAGCAUCGGCCACGACAUUGGCUUUCCCGGGGUGGUAUAGUAUAGUGACAUCGUAGUCCUUCAACAACUCCAACCACCGCUGCUGCCGCAUGUUCAAUUCCUUCUGGGUGAACAAGUACUUUAGACUUUUAUGAUCUGUGUAGACCUCGCAAUGCUCACCAUACAAGUAGUGCCUCCAAAGCUUUAGAGCGAAAAUUAUCGCGGCUAACUCGAGGUCGUGAAUCGGGUAGUUCUUCUCAUAACUCUUUAGUUGGUGCGAUGAAUAUGCAAUGACUCGCCCAUUUUGCAUUAGUACACACCCGAGACCAACAUAAGAGGCAUCACUGUAGACUACAAAAGUCUCCCCCGAAGUCAGCAAGGCAAGCACCGAGGUCGACGUCAAUCUGUUCUUUAACUCCUCAAAGCUCCGAUCACAAUUGUCGCUCCAAACACACUUUACUCCUUUAUGCGUGAGGCACGUUAGUGGAGUGGUUAUUUUGGCGAACCCCUCUACGAACCGUCGGUAGUAGCUCGCAAGUCCAAGAAAACUGCGGACCUCCGCCACAUUCGUCGGGCGAGGCCAAUCCUUUAUUGCCUCUACAUUCUUCGUGUCUACCGACACUCCGUCGCCCGAUACCACAUGACCCAAAAAUGUGACCUCCUUUAGCCAAAAGUCACACUUCUUUAACUUCGCAUAGAGCUUCUCCUGCCUGAGUAUCUGCAAUACAGCUCUCAGAUGCUCUUCGUGCUCCUCUUCACUUUUUGAGUAAACCAAUACGUCGUCCAUAAACACCACGACACAUCGAUCCAAUAACGGCCUGAAGACUCGAUUCAUCAAGUUCAUAAAUGCUGCCGGGGUGUUAGUAAGCCCAAAUGGCAUUACCGUGAACUCAUAAUGGCCAUACCGCGUACGGUACCCCGUUUUGUUCACAUCUUUCGGUCUAAUCUUUAGUUGAUGAUACCCCGAUUGGAGAUCAAUCUUCGAAUACACCUUGGAACCUUGCAACUGAUCGAAUAAAUUGUCAAUCCUUGGCAACGGGUACUUGUUCUUUAUCGUUACUUUGUUCAACUCGCGAUAGUCAACGCAGAGUCGAAGUGUGCCAUCCUUUUUCUUCACAAAUAGCACCGGAGCUCCCCACGGUGACACGCUCGGCCUCACGAAGCCUUUAUCGAGCAAGUCUUGUAGUUGGCCUUUUAGCUCUUUUAACUCCACCGGUGCCAUUCUAUACGGAGCCUUCGAAACUGGUUCCGCCCCGGAAAUCAAGUCAAUGACGAACUCAACUUUCCGGUCCGGUGGCAGUCCCGGUAACUCCGUCGGAAAUACAUCCGGGUACUCGCAGGCUACUCGAAUAUCCCACAACUUUGGGUACUCCUUUCGAGCAUCCACUAUGAUUUCCAAAUAGGCCUUACACCCUCCUUUGAUCAUCCUCUUUGCCCUUACAGACGAUAUGGUCGCCGCGAAGCGCCUACUUUUGCACGCUUGGUAGACCAACUCUUCUUGAUUAGGCUCACGAAAAGUGAUCACCUUGCUUUCACAAUCUAUAACCGCAUAAUAUUUGGAGAGCCAGUAGGUCCCCAAGAUAACAUUGAAUCCCCACAUCUGAUCUAGCACUAGUAGAUCAAUCGACAUAAUCCAAUCGCCUAUUUGCACUGGACACGCCAAACAUUCAUUGUGGACACUGAAUGAAUGUUCUGGGGCGUUCACCCACCAGUAAUCCUUAUUGUAUACCAUCUCUAUACCAUGAGUUUUAGCAAAUGACGUGCUAAUGAAUGAAUGAGAUGCGCCUGUAUCAAACACUGCUAUAGCUCUAGUGUCUUUAAUCACAAUUAUACUUGCCACGACGUCGUCGGAUGUUGCAGGUUGCUGCUCCUCCACCUGAGCGGCAAAGACUCGGCCGCUAGGCGCUCUCGAUCCCUUCGGCUAACGCGGUGAUGACGCGCGCCCAGCCGACAUCGCUGGUGGUAACCCCACAAGCUGUCUCGGGGUAGACGGUGCUGAUGCCGCCGUCAGCGCAGAUGACGUCCAGCUCGGGCACUCCCGGAUAAGAUGUCUCGGUUGGCCACACUUGUAACACUUGCUAUCGCGCUGCGGGCAAGUCGACACUCGGUGCUCUCCGCCACAAAUGACGCACCGAGGUGGUCUCCAAUUCCUCGACUGCUGUCGGGGAUACCGAGGGGGUUUCUUAGCAUUUGGCCAGCCCCCGGCACCGCCCGCCGUUCGCUUCUUGCCUUUAUCCUUUGACUCGGCCAUAGCCUCCCUUUCUUCACGUACAUGGGCGCUACCGUGCUCUGCCCACAAAGCUCUAUCGAAGACCUCGGCAAAGGUCGUCAGCUUCAGAAUCUGCACCUUUUCAUAUAUCCUAGGCUGGAGUCCUCGCAAGAACCAAUCAGCCUUGUCCCGAUCAUCUCUAACAACGUCAGGAACGCAGUCGAUAAUGUGGGAGAACUCUUGCUCAUAUUCUCCCACCGAUCAGUCGCCCUGUCGCAACUUGCGAAACUUCUCUUGCAACCUCCGCUUCACCAUGUCGGGGAAGUAGUUCGCAAAGACUGCUCUCUUGAACUCCUCCCAAAGCAUAAGCGGAAGAUCGGUAGGUCGAUCUCGCUUAACUCGCUUCCACCACACCAUCGCCACUUUCUCUAGACAAUGGGUGGCGAGGUACACUUUGUCCUUCUUCGAGGUAUUGAGAUCCACGAAGAGCGUCUCCAUUAAGUCGAUCCACGACUCCACAACCGUCGGCUCCACCAAACCGCCCUCGAAGGUAGGUAGGUUGAACUUCUUGAACUGAAUGAGAGCCGCCAACGUGCGCUCUCGCUCCGCCUCUACCAUCGCGUUAUCGGGAUUUGAGGUUCCCGACCUGGCCGGUACUAUCGUAACUGGCACAGUCGCUGCUGCCGCCGCUCCCUCGUCUACACUCGGCACUACCGCAGGGGGCACGACAUGUGUAACAUACCAGAUUUUGGUAUAAAAAUAAAAAUAAAUAAAAAUAGUGCGAGAAACUAUUUUUAUUGGAUUUAUAGAAGUAAAACACAAGUCAGAAGUGACUUGUGUUAAAAUCGGAAUGAAAACAGAAGAUCUAGAAUUUUCUGUUGGAAACGGGACAGAUAAAUUAGCAGAAAAUGCACAGUCUCAGAAAAUUAUGAAAAUUGGAGAAUAAGUCAGAAAUAUUUUUAUGAGGCUAGAUUUAAAGUUUCAUAUUUUUCUGAUACCCGUAGAGUGAGAAAUAAAAUUCGAGAGUUAUCUGAUAAAGAUUACAGUUCGGUACAGUUUUCAGUGACCAAACGGGGUCGAAACUGAAAACUUAAGAUAUAUUCUUACUCAGUACGUUAAACCGAGCCUGCCUGUCAAAUUUGAGCCCAAACGGACAUUCAGAAGGGCUCCGACUGUUCCGAACUGCUAAACUGCCCUGGAGUGAAUAGUGUUGGAGUGUGUAGUUAUUAAAGAAGUUGAUGCUUCUUCUUCCUCAACCGGCUAGCCCACCCCACCACUCACGCACGCAUGGUGGGAGAGGGAAAACCCUCCCUUCUCUCUCUAGAUUUUUCUUUCAUCUCUCCAAAUCUCUCGCUCAAAUUCGCGGCGUUGGCGGAGAAGAUGCUUGCGAACGCGUUGGGAGCGACGGAUCGAGCUUUCGUGCGGCCGUUGGAGCGGUGUUCUUUAGUUACGGCGUUCACAUUGUGGUAAGCUUUUGGAAUUUGGCUUAAUCCUUCACAUUAAGUGUUCUACUAGCCUCUAAUAAGCAUUGUUAGCAUGUUGCUCCAUUUAAUUUGGAUUAUUUGGAGGUUAAUUCAUGUUAGGGCUCACAAAUGGAGUUUUGUAAAAUAUGAGGGUUUGAUCUCAUUUGACCCUCUAUAGACCUAAUUGCUAGGUAAACGAACGUGUUGGCGAAGUCGGUUCGGCGAUUCGUCGAGCCGUUGUGAUGUUAUUAAAGAAACGGACGUUUAGGCUUCGUUUCCGCCUGGAGGGCCGAGGCGACAUCGUAAACUCAUGAAAAUGGAUUUGAAGCACCGUGGCACAUAACCGAAGAACUUUAAUUUCCGGAUCGUGGAUUGGAGGCCGUUCGGGUGGUCGCGCGAGGGAUCGGGCCAAACCGGGUGCCAGGUGCCGCGGGAGGCCGAUUGCAAGUGUCGACAAGCAAUCGAAAUGCAAAAUGAGGUAGGUUGUGUUUACCGAAGCGACUAGGUCGCCUCUAUGUCUAAGAGAAAUGGUUUCGUAUUGAUGCAUAUAAUAGUAGCUAAUGGUAAAUUAUGUGAAUGCAUGAAGUGAAUGCUAAGUAGGCUACCAAAGAAUGCAUGAGGAUAUAGUGGGAAUGAUGCUAGUUAAAAGUAUGAGAUAAAUGACAUUUGCAUGUUAACAUAAAGUAGAGAACAUGCUAGUUGUAAAGUAUAAUGAUAAGUUGUAAAGAAUGCUAGUUUGGAUAAGCAUGUUAUAUAAAUGCUAGAUAAUGCAUGUUAAUUAUCUAAAGUAACAUGCUAAGAGAAUGCACAUUGAGUGACAUAAUGUUAGUGUUAGAUGAUGCAAGUUAACAUGUAGAGGUUUAUAUUAAUAGAAAUGUGCAUAUGGACAAUCUAUAUAUAUUAGAUCGAGUGGCAUUAAACCUAGAGUCAUGGACAUAGGUUGAACAUGGAUGAUAUGAACCUAGUGUGAAUAAACAUAGGUUGGACAUGAACCUAGUGUCAAAGAAUAUAGGUUGGACAUCAAGUGCCAUUAAACCUAAUGUCUUGAACAUAGGUUGAACAAGUAUAGUGUGAACCUAGUGUCAUGAACCUAGCAAACACUUGUAGCAUUUGAGUAUAUAUAUUUUCUAUCAUUCAUGCAUGAUAGGGCUAAGUACAUGUGAACCUUGGUUGCUUUCAAUGACUUAUUUCUAACGAAGUUGAACAUAGAGAAAGGUAGAACCAUAAUGGACAUGUAUGUUAGGACCCUAUUAUUGUGUGAAUGUGAGAGUUGGACUUGGACAUUAGUGAACAAAGGUGACAUGGACAAUAGAGACAUUGAUUGGCAUAGAGAACAUAGUUGUUAAACAUAGUUUAACCAAGAGUGGCAUUAAGACAAGAAUGACCAAGAGAGCGGCAUGAAUAAAUAGGUAGAAAACCUAUUAUGAUUGUAGCAUUUGUGGCAUUGUGGCUUAUGGCUAUACAUUCCCAAAUUGGGAAUUGGAUCAUACUCACAUUGAGUCUUGGCUUGAGGGUGGUAGCUCCCCCUCGAGCGGUGCAUUCCAGAAUUGUCACCACGGGAGUGCGGUCCCUAAAAACGGUCCCUCAGGUCUUGCAGUGCUUAGAGCCUCCCCGAUCAAAAAGGGUUUUUGAGUUGUAAGUUCGAGGGGAACUGGGUGAACCUCGAUGCAAUUGGGUAAAAGCCAAGUGAAUGUACAUUAAGCAUUAUGAGCUAAAGAUUGAGUAUCCCUGUCGAGUGAAUUUGGGGCUGAGGUGUAUGUGAGACGUCCAUUACCUUGAGCCUGGAUGUAUACGGUAUUCCGCAGAUGAUUGACUCGAGACCGAGUCGGGUGGUUAGCUUGGUUAGUGUAGAGGAAAACCUUAGGAGCAAAUAACCAACGAUAUAAAGUGACAAGAUGUAUAAAUUAUGGAAAAGCUAUGGAUAGCAUGAUAGAAAGUUAAAUCAUUUAUUCUACUUGUAUAGUUGCAUGAUUCGCAUAUAGCAUGGCAUUAUUGCAUUCGUGAGGCAAAGCAUGGUUUUAUUAGUUGCAUAAUCAAGAUAUAUAUCUAUCUGUUUAUUGAACUAACUUGCAGUUGCCUCCCUUGGACCUAUUGGUCGAGCUUUUUCCUUGGGUGGCCGUACCUACUGGGAACCAUGUAGUUGGUUCUCACCCCACGUUGUUUUGGGGUGUUACAGGUUCACACGUGAGCGGCGCGGCGGCGCGAGGCGAGGACGUAGCAUCAUAGUUAGCGCCCUACCACCGAGACCAGAGAUAGCGG